rnacentral:rRNA from 1 species
UAGUCCACGCCGUAAACGAUCAUCACUCGCUGUUGGCGAUAUACUGUCAGCGGCCAAGCGAAAGUAUUAAGUGAUGCACCUGGGGAGUACGCCGGCAACGGUGAAACUCAAAGGAAUUGACGGGGGCCCGCACAAGCGGUGGAGCAUGUGGUUUAAUUCGAUGAUACGCGAGGAACCUUACCAGGGCUUAAAUGUAGUCUGACAGCUUUAGAGAUAGAGUUUUCUUCGGACAGAUUACAAGGUGCUGCAUGGUUGUCGUCAGCUCGUGCCGUGAGGUGUCAGGUUAAGUCCUAUAACGAGCGCAACCCCUGUUGUUAGUUGCCAGCGAGUAAUGUCGGGAACUCUAACAAGACUGCCGGUGCAAACCGUGAGGAAGGUGGGGAUGACGUCAAAUCAUCACGGCCCUUACGUCCUGGGCCACACACGUGCUACAAUGGCCGGUACAGAGAGUAGCCACUACGCGAGUAGGAGCGAAUCUUCAAAACCGGUCUCAGUUCGGAUCGG